GGGCGAUUGAUGGAAUUGGUAUACGUGCCGUCCUUAGAAGUCGGAUUUUGGGGGUUCGAGUCCCCUGUCGCCCA
rnacentral:tRNA from 3 species